CUCUAACGCGCCCGCCAGUAACUUUUCACAUUCCGGCUGCGGUCACACUGCAGAACCCCUUUAAACCGCAGAAAUCGCUCGCGUUUUUUGUCGCGGCGUUUAAUUUUUGAAAAGAAACCGAAGGAAUAUUAAACUGUUUGCCUGAUAAAAGGAUCGGUUCGGCCGCGUUGCAAACAUAAAGGCAAUUGGCGCGAGUAACGGCGGAUAAUUCAGAAAACACGCAAGCGAAAAAACGAAGUUGUGCGGAAAAACCAGUUUUCUUUUUGCCCAACGAGCAGCACCAACAACAACAACCACCACAACCACAACGCGUAGUUAAAAAAAGCAAGCAGAAAUCCUGUUUAGUCCUGAAUUAAAUAGCCCCCACAAGAAAUCAAAAGAAAAAUGCCAAUGAAAGUGUCGUGCAAUAAGGCCAAUUAAUCAAAAAAGAAGUACACAUGAAAACGAGGUUUUUGCCUGCGAUUUCCUGCGAACUAAGCUUGUUUUAACCAGACUAACUAAAAACUUUAAUUGUGCAACUACAGCAACAGUAACAACAAAAGCAGUAGCAGCGGAGUCUCAGCAAUUGGCACAAUUGGCGA